CACCGACGACCCAAAUGAUAACCGUUAUUAUUGGGUCUAAAGGGUCUGUAGCCGGCCAUGUAAGUCCCUUGGGAAAUCUGACAGCUCAACUGUCAGGCUGCUAGGGAAUACUGCUUGGCUUGGGACCGGAAAAGGUGAGAGGUACCUUGAGGGUAGGGGUGAAAUCUUGUAAUCCUCGGGGGACCACCAGUGGCGAAGGCGUCUCACCAGAACGGAUCCGACGGUAAGGGACGAAAGCUAGGAGC
rnacentral:rRNA from 1 species